rnacentral:rRNA from 1 species
AUUGAACGCUGGCGGAAUGCUUUACACAUGCAAGUCGAGCGGCAGCACGGGGGCAACCCUGGUGGCGAGCGGCGAACGGGUGAGUAAUACAUCGGAACAUGCCCAGUCGUGGGGGAUAACACUUCGAAAGAAGUGCUAAUACCGCAUACGUCCUGAGGGAGAAAGCGGGGGACCGUAAGGCCUCGCGCGAUUGGAUGAGCCGAUGCCGGAUUAGCUUGUUGGCGGGUAACGGCCCACCAAGGCGACGAUCCGUAGCUGGUCUGAGAGGAUGAUCAGCCACACUGGGACUGAGACACGGCCCAGACUCCUACGGGGGGCAGCAGUGGGGGAUCUUGCACAAUGGGCGAAAGCCUGAUGCAGCGACGCCGCGUGAGCGAAGAAGGCCUUCGGGUUGUAAAGCUCUGUCUGGAGGGACGAAGGAAGUGACGGUACCUCCGGAGGAAGCCACGGCUAACUACGUG